rnacentral:lncRNA from 1 species
CAAGAGAAUGGAAGCAAUCAACGUCAAAAGCUCGGAAAGACCACAGGUUUAACGUAAAGCUGCAAAGUAGUUAGGAAAGUUUGUUAGAAGAUAGAGAAUCAUUCACGUACACCGCUUGUGGAGCACGUGAAUGACUUGUAAAGUCCCUUUUACCCUUCGCCCUAAUGUAACUCUAUAAAUACUCCUUGUAACUCAUUAUAAU